rnacentral:rRNA from 1 species
UACGUAGGUGGCAAGCGUUGUCCGGAUUUACUGGGCGUAAAGGAUGCGUAGGCGGAUGUUUAAGUGAGAUGUGAAAUACCCGAGCUCAACUUGGGUGCUGCAUUUCAAACUGGAUAUCUAGAGUGCAGGAGAGGAAAGCGGAAUUCCUAGUGUAGCGGUGAAAUGCGUAGAGAUUAGGAAGAACACCAGUGGCGAAGGCGGCUUUCUGGGCUGUAACUGACGCUGAGGCAUGAAAGCGUGGGGAGCAAACAGG